CAGAAACAGCAAAACCCUAGGCGGUAGAAGCCUAUUGGAGUUGCUCUCAUGGAUCCUCAGCCAAAGCCAGUCUACUACAUUUGUGGAAAAUGUGGGUUGGAGGUUCAGUUGAAGCCCAACGACUCGAUGCAGUGCCGCGACUGCGGUUACCAUAUUUUAUACAAGAAGCGUGCUCGUCGUAUUAUUCAGCUUGAGGCGCGCUGAAGAAACGCACACGGAGCUCUCGGCAUGGCAGCAGAUGACGUGAAACGAAGAUGUCGCUUAAUUAGGCCCCCUUUCUUCAAUAACGAGACUUUACUCCGGCAGUGUAAUCUGGUUUAACAAACGCAGCCUUAGUGGCAUAACAAGCGCACAUAUUGAUAGGUAAAUAUAACGUUUGACAACGAUUUGAACAUUGAGACGUCUCUUUGGAGCAUUUAACUGAGAUAUGGUUUGACAAAUAUUCAAUUUCUUUCAAAGAUUCUCAAUUUUGGUUUCUAA